GCCGCUGGAAGGCCGGUCGUUGCUGGAAGCUCGCCACCGCCUUCAGCCUCAGAAGCCCCGUGCCUUGGGUAACAGGGCCUGAAGCGUCCCUGGGUGGCUGAUGCAGCGCUAACCAUACUUUCUCUCUUUAAAACCUUCCUGCCUUUGCUAGGUGUAGUAAUUAGACCUCUUUCCCCAUGUUGGGAUGGGACUAAGAGCUGCUGUUGUGCUUUAUGGGAAUGCAUGAAGGGACCCAAUGUCCAAGCUUGGAAAUGGAGUGCUUUCUGCAGCUGAGCACCAAAAGGUCCCGUGUCCAAAGGUAUGUAUCACUGGUACUGAACACUAACAACUAGAAUCAUUAACUAUGAGCAGGGAAAGAAAGCUCUAGUCUAUACACUGAGAGGAACCAGUAAGAGACUGGAAAACAGAUGAAGUCCUGCCUUGUCCUCACAGGAAUACAUUCCUCCAAACCAUCAAAUUCCAGGGCUCCCAUAAAGAAUGGCUUCUGUGAUGUCACCUCCAUCUCCCUCAGAAACGCUGCUCUCAGUGCCCUUAAGGUUGAGUCCCAGGCCUGUUCCACCUGGGUGUCUCCCACUCUGGCUUCAGUCUCCCUGUGUGCUCCAUGCUGUAGCUCCCAGUGUUACACAGGUUGCCGUAGUUCCACUACUCCAAAGCAGCAGUGAUGGCAUCAAGAUAGACCAGAUACUUCAGCGACCUGGAAAACUUUGCUGUCAAGGCAUAGCUGGCACAAAGAAAAAAAUCAGGAGCAAUUCCAGGGCAAGCAGAUUGAGCAGGCUGCUUUACAGCCAUCACUACGAUGGU